rnacentral:rRNA from 1 species
UACGAGAGGCCCAAACGUUAUUCGGAAUUACUGGGCUUAAAGAGUUCGUAGGCGGCGCAGAAAGUAGGGUGUGAAAUCCCUCGGCUCAACCGAGGAACGUCGAUCGAUACUGCUGUUCUUGAGGAUUGCAGAGGAGACUGGAAUUCCCGGUGUAGCGGUGAAAUGUGUAGAGAUCGGGAGGAACACCGGUGGCGAAGGUGGGUCUCUGGGCAAUUCCUGACGCUGAGGCGCGAAAGCGUGGGGAGCAAACGGG